UAAGCUAAAGGACUGGAUUGUAAGGAAUAAAUGUUUCUGCCGAUGAAGGUACAAUUCUACAUAUAUAUGUGAGCUAGCUAGCGGUGUUAGUCGGGCUCGGCUCAAUAAUCUGGGAGGCCAUGUGUAAAACUGAAUUAUAAAUUUUUAUAAUGAUUAAACUAGCUCCAGCAUUACGGAGUUAGAAAGGUGUUAUUUUUACAAGGUAAAUAUCUGCAUUUUCAGAGACAUUGUACUUGCUGAUGUUGCCUGGUGCUGUACUUCUGCCUGGUGGGUGCUGUAGUUUUGCCUGGUAAAGUAUGUGCACUAUUAGUAGCACUAUUAGUAACCUCCUUAAUAAUUUAAUUUUUUUUAUGCAUAUGCUCUACAAAGUUGUAGAAACUAUAAUUGAAGUGCAAGUGAUUGGAGCUGAAGAAUCUUAUCCAAGAUCCCAAUAUUCAAUUACUAUGUUCCGUGUUGGUAGUCUGAAGUCUCAUGUUAGUAACAUUAUUAUUAAGUUAAUAAUGUUCUAUUUGUAGGACGAGUUGUUUAAUUGUAGCGGGGUUUGUUAUUUGCAGUAUUGCUGAAAUUGCAUGAUAUGUUUAACAUUUUUAUUAAAAGGAUUUUUGUGUAUUGGAUAAUGAGCAGGAACUGUUACAAACAGAAUGAAUUUGAUUAAUGACGGAGAAUUAAUCACCAAAGUGGAUUGUCAAGUUUUGUUGGUGUACAAAUUAUUGUGUGCAACCGAGAAGGAAGAAGGCUGCAACUUUUCUGGCAAGACAUGGAGUAGAAAUUUAAACUUUUAUUUGCACUCAAGAAUCCUUCUACUCGACAUGGGAAACCUAUAAAGUAGAUUCAUG
rnacentral:lncRNA from 1 species